GCCGAUGUCUACCUCAAAUCCUCCAAUUCUUGGAAUCUCAUUCAAAACCCAUCAACAUCUCCACCUCCAUCCCUUUUCUUUGAUUGAAUAACUGCCGACAAAUUUGGCUCUUCUGCGAAGCAACUAUCGUUCGUGAACAAACACCACCGGUUGCCGCCUUCACUCGUUUUUCUUUUGUGGCGACAUUACAAGAAUAAGGUUACAUUACAGAUAAAUGGCUUGAAUAUGCACAAAUGAAGAAUCAUAAGAAGAUGAUGAGGAAAAGAAAUAUAAUCAGAUCUACACCACCCCUAUUUUCUGAAACUGUUAUGAAAUUGACUAAACCAAAUAAUAUACUUCUUUUUUUUUU